rnacentral:ncRNA from 1 species
AAAAAUGCAGUGAAAAGAAAAGUACAUUUAACCAACAUAUCCAGAGAACCCCGGUAUGCUGUGAAGGGGAAACGGCAGUUAAAUGGAAAAUGGUCUUUGAGCAAGGGCAGAUGAGAGUAAUCAAAUUUGUCACGGGAGUGCCCGUUACAGCAUCACGGAAUGCGUCACUGACAAGUUCCGGUAGAGGUUAUUGUGUAAAAGCGAUAAUGAACUUAGGUGGUAACACGAAUGCAGCAGCUUUCGUCCUAAAU